rnacentral:rRNA from 1 species
UGGGGAAUUUUGGACAAUGGGCGCAAGCCUGAUCCAGCAAUGCCGCGUGCAGGAUGAAUGCCUUCGGGUUGUAAACUGCUUUUGUACGGAACGAAACGGCGAGCUCUAAUACAGUUUGCUAAUGACGGUACCGUAAGAAUAAGCACCGGCUAACUACGUGCCAGCAGCCGCGGUAAUACGUAGGGUGCAAGCGUUAAUCGGAAUUACUGGGCGUAAAGCGUGCGCAGGCGGUUAUGUAAGACAGAUGUGAAAUCCCCGGGCUUAACCUGGGAACUGCAUUUGUGACUGCAUAGCUAGAGUACGGUAGAGGGGGAUGGAAUUCCGCGUGUAGCAGUGAAAUGCGUAGAUAUGCGGAGGAACACCGAUGGCGAAGGCAAUCCCCUGGACCUGUACUGACGCUCAUGCACGAAAGCGUGGGGAGCAAACA